rnacentral:hammerhead_ribozyme from 1 species
UAAUGUCUGAUGAGUCCCAUAAUAGGACGAAACGGCCGUCCAGUGU